UACGGAGGGGGCUAGCGUUGUUCGGAAUUACUGGGCGUAAAGCGCACGUAGGCGGCUUUGCAAGUUAGAGGUGAAAGCCCGGGGCUCAACUCCGGAAUUGCCUUUAAAACUGCAUCGCUAGAAUUGUGGAGAGGUAAGUGGAAUUCCGAGUGUAGAGGUGAAAUUCGUAGAUAUUCGGAAGAACACCAGUGGCGAAGGCGACUUACUGGACACAUAUUAACGCUGAGGUGCGAAAGCGUGGGGAGCAAACAGG
rnacentral:rRNA from 1 species